rnacentral:rRNA from 1 species
GAUGAACGCUGGCGGCGUGCCUAAUACAUGCAAGUCGAGCGAACGGACGAGAAGCUUGCUUCUCUGAUGUUAGCGGCGGACGGGUGAGUAACACGUGGAUAACCUACCUAUAAGACUGGGAUAACUUCGGGAAACCGGAGCUAAUACCGGAGAAUAUUUUGAACCGCAUGGUUCAAAAGUGAAAGACGGUCUUGCUGUCACUUAUAGAUGGAUCCGCGCUGCAUUAGCUAGUUGGUAAGGUAACGGCUUACCAAGGCAACGAUGCAUAGCCGACCUGAGAGGGUGAUAGGCCACACUGGAACUGAGACACGGUCCAGACUCCUACGGGAGGCAGCAGUAGGGAAUCUUCCGCAAUGGGCGAAAGCCUGACGCAGCAACGCCGCGUGAGUGAUGAAGGUCUUCGGAUCGUAAAACUCUGUUAUUAGGGAAGAACAUAUGUGUAAGUAACUGUGCACAUCUUGACGGUACCUAAUCAGAAAGCCACGGCUAACUACGUG